UACGUAGGGUGCAAGCGUUUGUCCGGAAUUAUUGGGCGUAAAGAGCUCGUAGGCGGUUUGUCGCGUCUGCUGUGAAAACCCGAGGCUCAACCUCGGGCCUGCAGUGGGUACGGGCAGACUAGAGUGCGGUAGGGGAGACUGGAAUUCCUGGUGUAGCGGUGAAAUGCGCAGAUAUCAGGAGGAACACCGAUGGCGAAGGCAGGUCUCUGGGCAUUAACUGACGCUGAGGAGCGAAAGCAUGGGGAGCGAACAGG
rnacentral:rRNA from 1 species